rnacentral:tRNA from 1 species
GACCGUUUAGCUCAGUUGGCAGAGCGUCGUGCUAAUAACGCGAAUGUCGUGGGUUCGAUCUCUUCAAUGGCCA